GACGCUAGUCGUCCUCAUAAUAACACUACUACACUGUACAAAACGAUGUAUAUUCUGAUAUUACUCGUUGUUAUUAUUAUAAUUACAAUGAGUAGAUCAGUUGCUGCCUUCGCUUUUCGGCAAGUAGCUACACAGUGUUUCCGGGAGGCUCCACUGUCUUUCCAGGAAUCAGUAUCAUCAAAACUCCGCUGAAAAAAUUGCAAUUAUAGAAACCGUUUUUUACAACAGCUUACUUCUGAAAGAAAUGAAUUAAACGGUUUUUUUGUUGGCUCUCCACGAAGUGUUUGAAAAAAAAAAUGGAUGUAAACUGUAGCAACAGCCGUAAAUUCAAACGUGGUAAUUCAACAAAUGGAAAGACAAGAAAACAAUUGGAAAAUGAACUUAACCGCCAAAGAAGUUUUUUUGUCUCAAAUCAAAAAAGUCCGAUCGAAAAACAAAAUAUUCAGGAUGAUCACUUUAACAAAAAUAGUAAUCAAAAUAUGGGAGUAAAAAAGCCUUCAAUUGAAAUAUAUCGGCCACCAAGUUUGCGGAAAGUUGACAUAAAUAAUAACAAUGAUAAUAUAUGUGUAGCCAAUGGACUAAUGAGAAUAAGAGGCGCCAAACAUUUUGAAAAUAUAUCUGAUAAUCCUGAUGGAUGUAAGCUUAACGUACACGCCAAGGAAUUUACUUUAGAACGCUCUAGAACAGCACCACAAUCAAUUAUAAAUAACUCCAAACACGAAAAUACAAACAAAAAUAUUGGAAAAAGUGUAUUGUCCAGAUCUAGAACAUUUUUUGUAAACAAUGAUUACAAGACAAAUAACCAAAAAAAAAAUUACGAGUGUAAAGGACAAAAAUCUUAUGUACAGCCAACUAAAAAUGAUCAAUUUACGAAAAAUUAUAUGGUACAGAAAGUUCAUUUUAAUGAACCUUUUAAACGAAAAACAAAAAAUGAUGAUUUCAGCAAGUAUUCAUCGGUGCACGCAAAAAAUGAUUACAGCUUGCGAAGAUCUAAAAGUUAUAACGGUCCAGACACUAAUGAUUUUAACAAAAAUAAAAUCCAAAAUAUUAAAUCUCCGAUUAUCAGUUUCAAUAUUAAAGAACUCAUUCAUUUUCCUGAAGAUAUAAAUAAUAUGGCAAAAACUAUUGUUAAUGACACCAAAAAUUCUCCAGGCAAAGACUUAAUGCUACUAGCUUUAAAAAUAAUUGAGCAUGCAGUAAGUUGUAAACUCGAAGAUUUACAGCUGUCAAUUAAUCUUUCUCUGUAUAUUAUUGAGAGAGACACCAGAGAUACAUUCAUAAAUAUGAUUAUAAACACAGUUCAGCUGUGGUUCGUUAAACGAGAAAAGCUCUUAUCACCUCCAAGACUAUAUUCAUAUGCAACAUUUGUGCUUCUAAUUUACAAAGGUGUGUGGGAUUCAACCAAAUUGUUCGCCGUUCGCCGAUUGUUUAUUUGUUAUUCGCUAUUGUUAGUCAUUGACAUUUGGUUCGUUCACUCGCGAAGUUAUAUGUUUCGAAGUAAUUAUUUAUGCUAACUGAAAUUGUUACUGUAAUAUUUAUGCAACUUGAAUUUGUGCGAGUGUUAAUUGUUUAGCUAAAGUUAUAAGAUCCAUGCAUUUACGAAGUAAAACGGUUUUACCAGUGCGUGACGUAGAUGACAUCAUAGUCAUAUAAUAAGUGCAUCCCCACUUAUUCAAAAGCCGGAAGGCGACUCAAAUUAUAAUGCUGGAAAUAACACUGCAGAUCUUCGAGACUUAGUGGCUACACUGGUUAACCAGAAUAAUUUACUUAUGCAUCAGUUAUUAUCUAAGGUUAAUGAUAAUAAUCAGAAUCAAACAGCACCGCUCAUCGCAAGGUUAUUUUAUCAUGUCAGAUUUUAAUAACAGCAUUAGUAAUUUUACCGGCCGUGAACCAACUUGAGAGGCUGAGCUUUAGCUCCAAUUAGUCGAGAGUGUGGCCAAAUUGCAUUACUGGCCAGAUCAUUUUAAAUUAAAACUUGUACGACUGAAAUUAAUCGAACCGUCCAAAUACUGGUUCUCAUUACGCCAAUUCCCUGACUGGAAUAGUUUCAUGGAACAAUUCAGAAAUACGUUUAUUGGCUGUAAACUCGACACCGUUGAUAGAGUUCACUGUAUGUCUAAUUGGUUACAGCUAAAAAAUGACUGUAUUUUUGAAUACUUCCAUCAUAAAAUGAAGCUUUGCUGCGAUAUUGAUCUUACAUUCUAUGAGAGCUAGCGACAGGUAGUGGAGGGACUAUAUUCUCGGGAUCUAUGUUACUACUUGUUGGCUCGUAACCACAACAGUGAAGAUGAAUUGUUAACUGACAUCCGAAAUUACGAAAAAAUUAAUAAUGCUUGUCAAAACCGUUUCCGAACCGAAUGAUCGUUAAAAAAUCGGUAUGCUCAGGGUACCAGUCCACAAAGACCUAGAGUGUUAUUUAAUCGAGAACCCCCUGUCAUUGAGUUUAGGUCGCCCAACCCACCGCUUCAAUCUGGUCAAUCGACGCCCAGGACAGCCAGCCGUUUUAGUGAUCGAAAUGCCAAUAUUCGAUGUUUUAAUUGUGGAUCCAUCGGUCAUUAUUCAAGUUCCUGUGCCAGCUCGUCGAAAUGAACGUCGUCCACAGUCCAAUAAUUUCCGGGAUGAAGCAAAACAAAGUUCUUUUGAACAGAAUGGAACAUGAGUAUUAUUCUCGCAAACAAGCAUUGCUAAUGCUGUUGGCUAAAAUUUGUGAGCAUUGUUUGAUUUUGAACAUAGAAGAAAAUUCUAAUGAUCAAGUA